UACGUAGGCAGCAAGCGUUGUUCGGAGUUACUGGGCGUAAAGGGGUGCGUAGGUGGCUCUAUAAGUAUGGUGUGAAAUCUCCCGGCUUAACUGGGAGGGUGCGCCGUAGACUGUGGGGCUAGAGUGUGGGAGAGGAAAGUGGAAUUCCUGGUGUAGCGGUGAAAUGCGUAGAUAUCAGGAGGAACACCGGUGGUGUAAACGGCUUUCUGGAACCAUAACU
rnacentral:rRNA from 1 species